GCCAGCAUGGUGUAGUGGUUUAACCAUUGGACUAGGAUUCUGGAGACCAGGGUUCGAUUCCCACCUCAGCCA